rnacentral:rRNA from 1 species
GUCGAGCGGACAGAUGGGAGCUUGCUCCCUGAUGUUAGCGGCGGACGGGUGAGUAACACGUGGGUAACCUGCCUGUAAGACUGGGAUAACUCCGGGAAACCGGGGCUAAUACCGGAUGCUUGAUUGAACCGCAUGGUUCAAUUAUAAAAGGUGGCUUUUAGCUACCACUUACAGAUGGACCCGCGGCGCAUUAGCUAGUUGGUGAGGUAACGGCUCACCAAGGCAACAAUGCGUAGCCAACCUGAGAGGGUGAUCGGCCACACUGGGACUGAAACACGGCCCAAACUCCUACGGGAGGCAGCAGUAGGGAAUCUUCCGCAAUGGACGAAAGUCUGACGGAGCAACGCCGCGUGAGUGAUGAAGGUUUUCGGAUCGUAAAACUCUGUUGUUAGGGAAGAACAAGUACCGUUCGAAUAGGGCGGUACCUUGACGGUACCUAACCAGAAAGCCACGGCUAACUACGUGCCAGCAGCCGCGGUAAUACGUAGGUGGCAAGCGUUGUCCGGAAUUAUUGGGCGUAAAGCGCGCGCAGGCGGUUUCUUAAGUCUGAUGUGAAAGCCCCCGGCUCAACCGGGGAGGGUCAUUGGAAACUGGGGAACUUGAGUGCAGAAGAGGAGAGUGGAAUUCCACGUGUAGCGGUGAAAUGCGUAGAGAUGUGGAGGAACACCAGUGGCGAAGGCGACUCUCUGGUCUGUAACUGACGCUGA